ACGGGUGAGUAAUGUCUGGGAAACUGCCUGAUGGAGGGGGGUAACUACUGGAAACGGUAGCUAAUACCGCAUAACGUCGCAAGACCAAAGAGGGGGACCGUUCGGGCCUCUUGCCAUCGGAUGUGCCCAGAUGGGAUUAGCUAGUAGGUGGGGUAACGGCUCACCUAGGCGACGAUCCCUAGCUGGUCUGAGAGGAUGACCAGCCACACUGGAACUGAGACACGGUCCAG
rnacentral:rRNA from 1 species